rnacentral:rRNA from 1 species
UAGGGAAUCUUCCGCAAUGGACGCAAGUCUGACGGAGCAACGCCGCGUGAGUGAAGAAGGAUUUCGGUUCGUAAAACUCUGUUGUUAGAGAAGAACAGCGCAUAGAGUAACUGUUAUGCGUGUGACGGUAUCUAACCAGAAAGCCACGGCUAACUACGUGCCAGCAGCCGCGGUAAUACGUAGGUGGCAAGCGUUGUCCGGAUUUAUUGGGCGUAAAGCGAGCGCAGGCGGUCAAUUAAGUCUGAUGUGAAAGCCCCCGGCUCAACCGGGGAGGGUCAUUGGAAACUGGUUGACUUGCGUGCAGAAGAGGAGAGUGGAAUUCCAUGUGUAGCGGUGAAAUGCGUAGAUAUAUGGCGGAACACCAGUGGCGAAGGCGACUCUCUGGUCUGUAACUGACGCUGAGGCUCGAAAGCGUGGGUAGCAAACAGG